rnacentral:misc_RNA from 1 species
AAGUCGUAACAAGGUUUCCGUAGGUGAACCUGCGGAAGGAUCAUUAACAAUGAUAUCCAUCAUACACCGUGAACCUUUAAAAACUUAAAAUUUUUGGGUAAGAUAAAAAGUAUUUUUUAUUGUACCCAAAAACUUUUAAUUUUAACCAUAACACUUCAAAUUUAUACUUAUAAUUGUUGAAAUAUUAAACAACUUUUAGCAACGGAUCUCUUGGCUCUC